CCUACGGUAGUCAGCAGUGAGGAAUAUUUGUCAAUGGACGCACGUCUGAACCAGCCAUGUCGCGUGCAGGAAGACGGCUCUAUGAGUUGUAAAAUGCUUUUGUACGAGGGUAAACGCAGAUACGCUUAUCUGUCUGACAGUAUCGUACGAAUAAGGAUCGGCUAACUCCGUGCCAGCAGCCGCUGUAAUACGGAGGAUUCAAGCGUUAUCCGGAUUUAUUGGGUUUAAAGGGUGCGUAGGCGGUCGGAUAAGUUAGAGGUGAAAUCCCGAGGCUCAACUUCGGAAUUGCCUCUGAUACUGGUCGGCUAGAGAGUAGUAGCGGUAGGCGGAAUGUAUGGUGUAGCGGUGAAAUGCUUAGAGAUCAUACAGAACACCGAUUGCGAAGGCAGCUUACCAAGCUACUUCUGACGUUGAGGCACGAAAGCGUGGGGAGCAAACAGGAUUAGAUACCCCUGUAGUC
rnacentral:rRNA from 1 species